AAAGAUUAAGCCAUGCAUGUCUAAGCACAUGCCUAUAUACGGUGAAGCCGCGAAUAGCUCAUUACAACAGCCACCGUUUACUAGAAUAUAGUUAUCCUACUUGGAUAACUGUGGCAAUUCUAGAGCUAAUACAUGCAAAAAAGCUCUGCCCGCAAGGAACGAGCGCAUUUAUUAGAAUAAAAACCAAUCGGGUUUCGGCCCGUAAUUUGGUGAAUCUGAAUAACUUUGCCAAUCGCACAGUCCUAGUACUGGCGAUGUAUCUUUCAAGUGUCUGCCUUAUCAACUUUCGAUGGCAGGUUAUACGCCUACCAUGGUAGUAACGGGUAACGGAGAAUAAGGGUUCGACUCCGGAGAGGGAGCCUGAGAAACGGCUACCACAUCCAAGGAAGGCAGCAGGCGCGCAAAUUACCCACUUCCAGAACGGAGAGGUAGUGACGAAAAAUAACGAGACAGUCCUCUUCGAGGUCUGUCAUCGGAAUGGGUACAAUUUAAAUCCUUUAACGAGGAUCUAUUGGAGGGCAAGUCUGGUGCCAGCAGCCGCGGUAAUUCCAGCUCCAAUAGCGUAUAUUAAAGUUGUUGCGGUUAAAACGCUCGUAGUUGGAUCUGCGGCCUCGGAGAACGGUCCCCCGAAAGGGUGGUCACUGUCUCUCCUAGCCUAAAUUCGAGUCGUCUCUAGGUGCUCUUUACCGAGUGCUUAGAGUGACUAGAACGUUUACUUUGAAAAAAUUAGAGUGCUUAAAGCAGGCGAAAUAGCCUGAAUAAGGUGCAUGGAAUAAUGGAAUAGGACCUCGGUUCUAUUUUGUUGGUUUUCGGAACCCGAGGUAAUGAUUAAGAGGAGCAGACGGGGGCAUUCGUAUUCCGGCGCUAGAGGUGAAAUUCUUGGACCGCCGGAAGACGGACAACUGCGAAAGCAUUUGCCAAGAAUG
rnacentral:rRNA from 1 species